GAUGAACGCUGGCGGCGUGCCUAACACAUGCAAGUCGAGCGAGGAUGAGGAAGCUUGCUUCCAAAUCCUAGCGGCGGACGGGUGAGUAACGCGUGGGCAACCUACCCUAUGCAGGGGGAUAACAUUGGGAAACCAGUGCUAAUACCGCAUAAGGCCGAGAAGGGGCACUCCUUUAUGGUCAAAGAAUUUGGACAUAGGUUGGCCCGGCGUCGGAUUAGUUAGUGGGUAAGGUAACGGCUUACCAAGACGAUGAUCAGUAGCCGAACUAUGCGGAUGACCGGCCACACGGGGACUGAGACACGGUGCCGACGCCUACGGGAGGCAGCAGUGGGGAAUAUUGCACAAUGGGGGAAACCCUGAGGCAGCAACGCCGCGUGAGCGAAGAAGGCCUUCGGGUCGUAAAGCUCUGUCCUAAGGGAAGAUAAUAACGGUACCUUAGGAGGAAGCCCCGGCUAACUACGUGCCAGCCGCCGCGGUAA
rnacentral:rRNA from 1 species